GAAAUGCGAUAAGUAAUGUGAAUUGCAGAAUUCAGUGAAUCAUCGAAUCUUUGAACGCAUCUUGCGCCCUUUGGUAUUCCGAAGGGCAUGCCUGUUUGAGUGUCAUGGUAUUCUCAAUACCCCAAAUCUUUGCGGAUAAGGGUGUGUUGGACUUGGAGGUUUUUGCAGGUAAUGAUUGUGUUACCAGCUCCUCUUAAAUGCAUUAGCAGAGAUAAUACUGCUACUCUCCAGUGUGAUAAUUGUCUACACUGUUAGUAGUGCGGUAUAACAAAAUGUCUAUGCUUCUAAUCGUCUUCGGACAACUUUUGACAAUCUGACCUCAAAUCAGGUAGGACUACCCGCUGAACUUAA
rnacentral:misc_RNA from 1 species